CGCAGUACGAGUCCCACAGCCACUGGUGCACCCGCCGCGCGUACUCCGCCGCGCUCAGCGCCUUCGCCCCGCCGCCCUCCUCCCCGCCGGCCGCCGCGGGGGAGCUCGGCGGCGGCGGCGACGCGGCUGCAUUCGCCUCCCCUCCGGCGCCGCCGCCGCUCUCCGCCAUCGCCGCUGCCCCAGCGCCGGGCCGGCCCGGGCCGGGCCCCGACUCCGCCAUCUCCUCCGUCCCCUCCUGACGCUGAGCGCCUGCGCCACGGACUCGCCUCGCCUCGCCUCGCCUGUCCCACUACCGCUCUGCAGGCGGGGGGAGAAACAGAGCAAGCAACCGGCCGCCAGGCGGCGUGCUCGCAGCACCCACUGUGCCGCUGCGCCAGGCGACAGCCGAGCUUCCCCCGCCGUGAGAUGGUGUCGCCCACGGCAGGGGCGGGAACGCGGGCCGCGCGGGGCGGGUCGCAGCGCCCCUGAGGUAAAAGGCGGAGCGGCGGGGCGGAGCCGCCGGUUCGGGGAGCGGAGCGUGUCGUGUUCGUGCCAUCGGCACUGGAAGAACGGAAGGCAUGUAGUUUUUGUUUAGCAUAGAUACCAGGGUUUCUCGCCGCCGGUUCCUCGCGUCGCGCAGGGAGCCGCCCCCCCAGCCCCUCAGGGGGAGCCGCCGCCCCCUGGCCGGGCCCCACACGGAUGGUUCUUCUCUUCAACCAGAGCCCCCACGCAUUGAGCUGAGUUGCAGGAGACCGCAGCACACAAGUUAUGAGUGAGGGAGGCCGCGGCAAAAACUGGAAUUCCAGGGGCGGCUGCAGCGUGGAUUUUCUUCAGCUCCUUCAACCUCUCCCUCACCCAAGGACUUGAAGAAUGAGGAUAUCUCAGUUUUAUAGCCUCCUGCGAAACGAGACUGCUGGCAAGGAUCCCUAGGCACAUACGGGACUGGGCUGCUUAGGUGGAAGGGGCACGUCCC